rnacentral:rRNA from 1 species
CGGGAAUUUUGGGCAAUGGGGGAAACCCUGACCCAGCAACGCCGCGUGAGGGAUGAAGGCCUUCGGGUCGUAAACCUCUGUCAGGAGGGAAGAACCAUCUCCGGUCGAACAGGCCGGGGAUCUGCCGGUACCUCCAAAGGAAGCGCCGGCUAACUCCGUGCCAGCAGCCGCGGUAAUACGGAGGGGGCAAGCGUUGUUCGGAAUUACUGGGCGUAAAGGGCGCGUAGGCGGAAUAUCAAGUUAGGGGUGAAAGGCCCGGGCUCAACCUGGGAACGGCCUCUAAAACUGAUAAUCUUGAGUCCGGAAGAGGAUGGCGGAAUUCCCAGUGUAGAGGUGAAAUUCGUAGAUAUUGGGAAGAACACCGGUGGCGAAGGCGGCCAUCUGGUCCGGAACUGACGCUGAGGCGCGAAAGCGUGGGGAGCAA